GAUGAACGCUGACAGAAUGCUUAACACAUGCAAGUCAACUGUGGCGGACGGGUGAGUAACGCGUAAAGAACUUGCCUCACAGAUAGGGACAACAUUUGGAAACGGAUGCUAAUACCUAAUACUGUGAGAGAGCUUUGCGUCCCAUUAGCUAGUUGGAGAGGUAACGGCUCACCAAGGCGAUGAUGGGUAGCCGGCCUGCGAGGGUGAUCGGCCACAAGGGGACUGAGACACGGCCCUUACUCCUACGGGAGGCAGCAGUGGGGAAUAUUGGACAAUGGACCAAAGUCUGAGCCAGCAAUUCUGUGUGCAAGAUGAAGUUUUCGGAAUGAAAAGGGUUUUCAGUUGGGAAGCGGUACCAACCGAAGAAGUGACGGCUAAAUACGUGCCAGCAGCCGCGGUAAUUC
rnacentral:rRNA from 1 species